CCCAGGAGUGCAUGACCACUGAGCCACACCCCCAGACCUUUUUUUUUCUAUUUUAUUUAGAGACAGGGUCUCACUGAGAUGUUUAGGGCCUCACUAAGUUGCUGAGGGUGUCUUUGAACUUGCGAUCCUCCUUCCUCAGCCUCCUGAGCCACUGGGGUUACAGGCAUGCGCCAGCUGUUCAGACUCUGGGUUGACUCGGGCUUGGAGUGGGUCACCAGGAACCCCCUGGGUUUCCUUUGUCACAGAUUAAGCCUUGACAAGCCUGUAGGCUUUUCCCGUUCCCCUAUUGUACUCUCUGUGCUCCAAGGUGCUCAGCAAGUUUCUUUGGCCACAGAAGCCGGGCAUUUUUGUCCUUUCCCGUAAACUCCUCUGGGAAGAGGACGUUAAGGUCUAACGGGCUCUAACUGUCCUCCUUACCCUCCGGAGAUUCCUGUAGCCCACGGAGCAGAGCAAUGUACCCCAUCAUAGGUUUUUUCGUGGGUCAUCACAUUUGGAAGUUGAUACUGGCAGGAAAGGUCAGCAAUGCCUGUAAGUCUGAAUUCUCCCAGGUCUUUGGCACCGGGCAAAGCAGAGGCCUAGCAUGUGCCAAUGGAGCCAGCAUCGGGAUUGGGCAGAUCAUGUGGUGAGAGUCCAUGUGCUGGGUCCUCAGAAGCUCCUAGGAGGGCCACUGUGGCGAGCCUUAUGGGGAGACGUCCCCACACCAAAGAGACAGCUCCUCGGGGCCGACAACCACAGGCCCUGUUGCCUUUUGCUUGGUUCCUGUGUUCGUGAGGUGGUCGGAAGGAGCUUCAUCCUCAAAAGUUAUGCCAGGUUC
rnacentral:lncRNA from 1 species